AGACUUGAGUGCAGAAGAGGAGAGUGGAAUUCCAUGUGUAGCGGUGAAAUGCGUAGAUAUAUGGAGGAACACCAGUGGCGAAGGCGGCUCUCUGGUCUGUAACUGACGCUGAGGCUCGAAAGCGUGGGGAGCGAACAGGAUUAGAUACCCUGGUAGUCCACGCCGUAAACGAUGAGUGCUAAGUGUUGGAGGGUUUCCGCCCUUCAGUGCUGCAGCAAACGCAUUAAGCACUCCGCCUGGGGAGUACGACCGCAAGGUUGAAACUCAAAGGAAUUGACGGGGGCCCGCACAAGCGGUGGAGCAUGUGGUUUAAUUCGAAGCAACGCGAAGAACCUUACCAGGUCUUGACAUCCUUUGACCACUCUAGAGAUAGAGCUUCCCCUUCGGGGGCAAAGUGACAGGUGGUGCAUGGUUGUCGUCAGCUCGUGUCGUGAGAUGUUGGGUUAAGUCCCGCAACGAGCGCAACCCUUAUUGUUAGUUGCCAUCAUUUAGUUGGGCACUCUAGCGAGACUGCCGGUGACAAACCGGAGGAAGGUGGGGAUGACGUCAAAUCAUCAUGCCCCUUAUGACCUGGGCUACACACGUGCUACAAUGGGAAGUACAACGAGUUGCGAAGUCGCGAGGCUAAGCUAAUCUCUUAAAGCUUCUCUCAGUUCGGAUUGUAGGCUGCAACUCGCCUACAUGAAGCCGGAAUCGCUAGUAAUCGCGGAUCAGCACGCCGCGGUGAAUACGUUCCCGGGCCUUGUACACACCGCCCGUCACACCACGAGAGUUUGUAACACCCGAAGUCGGUGAGGUAACCUU
rnacentral:rRNA from 1 species